rnacentral:rRNA from 2 species
GUGAGUAACCUGCCCUUGACUCUGGGAUAAGCGCUGGAAACGGCGUCUAAUACCGGAUACGAGCUUCAGCCGCAUGGCUAGGAGUUGGAAAGAAUUUCGGUCAAGGAUGGACUCGCGGCCUAUCAGCUAGUUGGUGAGGUAAUGGCUCACCAAGGCGACGACGGGUAGCCGGCCUGAGAGGGUGACCGGCCACACUGGGACUGAGACACGGCCCAGACUCCUACGGGAGGCAGCAGUGGGGAAUAUUGCACAAUGGGCGAAAGCCUGAUGCAGCAACGCCGCGUGAGGGAUGACGGCCUUCGGGUUGUAAACCUCUUUUAGUAGGGAAGAAGCGAAAGUGACGGUACCUGCAGAAAAAGCACCGGCUAACUACGUGCCAGCAGCCGCGGUAAUACGUAGGGUGCAAGCGUUGUCC